GCGCACCAGUCGCGAAAACUCCGCAAUACGCGAAAGCGUGACGGGGCCAUCCCGAGUGCCGUCCGCUGAGGAUGGCUUGUCCCUAGUGUAGAUAGCUGGGGGAAUAAGGAGAGGGCAAGUCUGGUGUCAGCCGCCGCGGUAAUACCAGCUCUUCGAGUGGUAGGGAUGUUUAUUGGGCCUGAAGCAUCCGUAGCUGGCUGUGCAAGUCAUCCGUUAAAUCCAGUGAUUUAAUCGUUGGAUUGCGGGGGAUACUGUUCGUCUAGUGGAUGGGAGAAGCCAACGGUAUUCCCGGGGUAUGGGUGAAAUCCUAUAAUCCCGGGAGGACCACCAGUGGCGAAGGCUGUUGGCUAGAACACGCCCGACAGUGAUGGAUGAAAGCUGGGGGAGCGAACCGGAUUAGAUACCCGUGUAGUCC
rnacentral:rRNA from 1 species